AGUCGACGGGAUCCUCAGGCUUUGCUUGGUGGUGAGAGUGGCGAACGGGUGAGUAAUGCGUGACCGACCUGCCCCAUACACCGGAAUAGCUCCUGGAAACGGGUGGUAAUGCCGGAUGCUCCAGUUGAUCGCAUGGUCUUCUGGGAAAGCUUUCGCGGUAUGGGAUGGGGUCGCGUCCUAUCAGCUUGACGGCGGGGUAACGGCCCACCGUGGCUUCGACGGGUAGCCGGCCUGAGAGGGCGACCGGCCACAUUGGGACUGAGAUACGGCCCAGACUCCUACGGGAGGCAGCAGUGGGGAAUAUUGCACAAUGGGCGCAAGCCUGAUGCAGCGACGCCGCGUGAGGGAUGGAGGCCUUCGGGUUGUAAACCUCUUUUAUCGGGGAGCAAGCGAGAGUGAGUUUACCCGUUGAAUAAGCACCGGCUAACUACGUGCCAGCAGCCGCGGUAAUACGUAGGGUGCAAGCGUUAUCCGGAAUUAUUGGGCGUAAAGGGCUCGUAGGCGGUUCGUCGCGUCCGGUGUGAAAGUCCAUCGCUUAACGGUGGAUCCGCGCCGGGUACGGGCGGGCUUGAGUGCGGUAGGGGAGACUGGAAUUCCCGGUGUAACGGUGGAAUGUGUAGAUAUCGGGAAGAACACCAAUGGCGAAGGCAGGUCUCUGGGCCGUUACUGACGCUGAGGAGCGAAAGCGUGGGGAGCGAACAGGAUUAGAUACCCUGGUAGUCCACGCCGUAAACGGUGGAUG
rnacentral:rRNA from 1 species